GUCGACGGUGAAACGGAGCUUGCUCUGUGGGAUCAGUGGCGAACGGGUGAGUAACACGUGAGCAACCUGCCCCUGACUCUGGGAUAAGCGCUGGAAACGGCGUCUAAUACUGGAUAUGUGACGUGAUCGCAUGGUCUGCGUCUGGAAAGAAUUUCGGUUGGGGAUGGGCUCGCGGCCUAUCAGCUUGUUGGUGAGGUAAUGGCUCACCAAGGCGUCGACGGGUAGCCGGCCUGAGAGGGUGACCGGCCACACUGGGACUGAGACACGGCCCAGACUCCUACGGGAGGCAGCAGUGGGGAAUAUUGCACAAUGGGCGCAAGCCUGAUGCAGCAACGCCGCGUGAGGGAUGACGGCCUUCGGGUUGUAAACCUCUUUUAGCAGGGAAGAAGCGAAAGUGACGGUACCUGCAGAAAAAGCGCCGGCUAACUACGUGCCAGCAGCCGCGGUAAUACGUAGGGCGCAAGCGUUAUCCGGAAUUAUUGGGCGUAAAGAGCUCGUAGGCGGUUUGUCGCGUCUGCUGUGAAAUCCGGAGGCUCAACCUCCGGCCUGCAGUGGGUACGGGCAGACUAGAGUGCGGUAGGGGAGAUUGGAAUUCCUGGUGUAGCGGUGGAAUGCGCAGAUAUCAGGAGGAACACCGAUGGCGAAGGCAGAUCUCUGGGCCGUAACUGACGCUGAGGAGCGAAAGGGUGGGGAGCAAACAGGCUUAGAUACCCUGGUAGUCCACCCCGUAAACGUUGGGAACUAGUUGUGGGGUCCAUUCCACGGAUUCCGUGACGCAGCUAACGCAUUAAGUUCCCCGCCUGGGGAGUACGGCCGCAAGGCUAAAACUCAAAGGAAUUGACGGGGACCCGCACAAGCGGCGGAGCAUGCGGAUUAAUUCGAUGCAACGCGAAGAACCUUACCAAGGCUUGAC
rnacentral:rRNA from 2 species